rnacentral:tRNA from 1 species
GGCUCAGUAGCUCAGCGGUAGAGCAGCGGACUCAUAAGCCGUCGGUCGUUGGUUCAAAUCCGACCUGAGCCA